CCUACGGGAGGCAGCAGUGAGGAAUAUUGGUCAAUGGGCGGGAGCCUGAACCAGCCAAGUCGCGUGAGGGAAGACGGUCCUAUGGAUUGUAAACCUCUUUAGGCGGGGAGCAAUGCCGGGCCCGUGUGCCCGGAGGGAGAGUACCCGCAGAAUAAGCAUCGGCUAACCCCGUGCCAGCAGCCGCGGUAAUACGGAGGAUGCGAGCGUUAUCCGGUUUUAUGGGGUUAAAAGGGUGCGUAGGCGGAUGUUUAAGUCACCGGUAAAAGGUCCGGGCCCAACCCGGGGCGGGCGUUGGAACUGGGGAUUUUGAGUGCGCGGAAAGUAUGCGGAAUGCGGGGUGUAGCGGUGAAAUGCAUAGAUAUCACGCAGAAAUCCGAUUGCGAAGGCAGCAUACCGGCGCCCGACUGACGCUGAGGCACGAAAGCGUGGGGAUCGAACAGGAUUAGAUACCCCAGUAGUC
rnacentral:rRNA from 1 species